UUGACGGGGGCCCGCACAAGCGGCGGAGCAUGUGGCUUAAUUCGAUGCAACGCGAAGAACCUUACCAGGGCUUGACAUGCAGGGAAAUCUCGUAGAGAUACGGGGUCCGUAAGGGUCCUGCACAGGUGGUGCAUGGCUGUCGUCAGCUCGUGUCGUGAGAUGUUGGGUUAAGUCCCGCAACGAGCGCAACCCUCGUCCUAUGUUGCCAGCGAGUUAUGUCGGGGACUCAUAGGAGACUGCCGGGGUCAACUCGGAGGAAGGUGGGGAU
rnacentral:rRNA from 1 species